rnacentral:sRNA from 12 species
UACACCGCAGGCGGUUGAAAUACCGCUACCAGUGGAAAUUACGCCGUAAAAGGCAUGGUUUAGUAAGCGAAAGCCCAGGAACCAUGAGGCAAUAAGA